UUAUGUUAUAGUACUUUAUACAUAUUGAGCAUUUGAAUAAUGUGAAUAAAAUAAAUGACCCAUAACCAACCGUCCCUAGCGCAAGUGGCAAAAGGACUUGAUGGUUGGUACCCGAGACCUAAGUUCGAAUCCUAGUUGAUUCACAUUUCCAGCUAAGUUUAUUUCUAAAUGAAAUAAACGAAGCGGAUAGUAUGCUACCUUUCUCUCAAAAAAAUUAAAUGACCCAUAAUUAAUAUUUUGUUCAAAAAAAAAAGGUUAGAUUAAAUCUCUUUUUAUAUUAUCACAUCAGUAAAAUUACUGGUAUCCUAGUAGUAAGACAUCAAAUAGAUUUGAAAUGUUCUCAAAUUUGAGUUCUAGGGGUACUAAAUUCGAUAGGAUUACAGAAGAACAAGUUUUCAAUUUUCAAAAAUAAAAAAAAUCUCUUUUUAUAUUUGUGAUGCCCAAUAGUCCCGUAUCGAAUGAAAAUGGAUUAUGACCGAAUUGUGAAACAAUCAUUGUACCCUAAGGUAUCGUUUGGUUCGGGGAUAAGAAAAAAGUGGCUAUUCUAGGAAUAGGUAUAAAUUGAGGUAUAAGCGAGGAUUAGAUCAAUUUUGUGUUUGGAUGAAAAUUCGGUUAUUCCUGGAAUAAAAAAAAUAGCGUUUGGUUAGGUAAGAUGGAAUACGAAAGAUAAUGGAUUUUGUAAAUAAAAAAUAAUGAUAUUAUCCACUUAUUAUAUUUGAAUUAAUUUUAAAAUUUAAAUCUUUAUAUUUAAAUUUUUAAAUUUUUAAGUNGUGGUGGGAACAAUUAAUAAAAAUAAUUUAUUAUAAUAAAUUUAUAAAUUUUUUAAAAAUUCUACUUAAAUUUUAAUUUAAUAAAAAGAAUUUAUUAUAAUAUUUAAAUAUAAUUUAUUAUAAAUUUUAUUAUAAUAUUUAAAUAUAAAUAAUAUGUAUUAAUAUAGUACAAUUAAUAAUUUUAUAAUAAAAAUAAUGUAUUAUAAUAUAUAACAUAUUAUAUUUAUAUAAUUUAGUUUAAUUCAAUUUAUAAGUUUAAUUAAGUUUGAAAUUAAGCAUUGGAAUAGCACUAUUCCACCAAAAUGGUGGAAUAGCAAAUCCCUUGCUAUUCCGGAAUAACCAAAAAUAGCAAGGUUUGACCGGGAUAAAAUAUCCCGGCCAAAUUUCACCCCGUUUGGCGGAAUAGCGGGGAUAACUUUCGUUAUUCCCGCUUAUCCCGCAAUCCAAACGGGGCCUUAAAAGCUUAAAGUGUUAGAGAACGGUAUUUAAAUAUUUUUAUAUUUAACACUCUUCCUCACCUGGGCUUGAAUUAAAUGGGAGGAAAUUAAUAUGCUAGGAGCCUGGCGUGACUUGAACUCAGGAUCUCCUGCUCUGAUACCAUGUGAAACAAUCGUGUACUUUAAAAGGUUAAGUUGUUAGAGAACAGUGUUUAAACAUUUUUAUAGUUAACACGAAUAUGUAAGGACUUACCACUUUAAUA
rnacentral:lncRNA from 1 species